rnacentral:rRNA from 1 species
CCUGGCUCAGGAUGAACGCUAGCUACAGGCUUAACACAUGCAAGUCGAGGGGCAGCAUGGUCUUAGCUUGCUAAGGCCGAUGGCGACCGGCGCACGGGUGAGUAACACGUAUCCAACCUGCCGUCUACUCUUGGACAGCCUUCUGAAAGGAAGAUUAAUACAAGAUGGCAUCAUGAGUCCACAUGUUCACAUGAUUAAAGGUAUUCCGGUAGACGAUGGGGAUGCGUUCCAUUAGAUAGUAGGCGGGGUAACGGCCCACCUAGUCUUCGAUGGAUAGGGGUUCUGAGAGGAAGGUCCCCCACAUUGGAACUGAGACACGGUCCAAACUCCUACGGGAGGCAGCAGUGAGGAAUAUUGGUCAAUGGGCGCAGGCCUGAACCAGCCAAGUAGCGUGAAGGAUGACUGCCCUAUGGGUUGUAAACUUCUUUUAUAAAGGAAUAAAGUCGGGUAUGCAUACCCGUUUGCAUGUACUUUAUGAAUAAGGAUCGGCUAACUCCGUGCCAGCAGCCGCGGUAAUACGGAGGAUUCGAGCGUUAUCCGGAUUUAUUGGGUUUAAAGGGAGCGUAGAUGGAUGUUUAAGUCAGUUGUGAAAGUUUGCGGCUCAACCGUAAAAUUGCAGUUGAUACUGGAUAUCUUGAGUGCAGUUGAGGCAGGCGGAAUUCGUGGUGUAGCGGUGAAAUGCUUAGAUAUCACGAAGAACUCCGAUUGCGAAGGCAGCCUGCUAAGCUGCAACUGACAUUGAGGCUCGAAAGUGUGGGUAUCAAACAGGAUUAGAUACCCUGGUAGUCCACACGGUAAACGAUGAAUACUCGCUGUUUGCGAUAUACGGCAAGCGGCCAAGCGAAAGCGUUAAGUAUUCCACCUGGGGAGUACGCCGGCAACGGUGAAACUCAAAGGAAUUGACGGGGGCCCGCACAAGCGGAGGAACAUGUGGUUUAAUUCGAUGAUACGCGAGGAACCUUACCCGGGCUUAAAUUGCAGAUGAAUUACGGUGAAAGCCGUAAGCCGCAAGGCAUCUGUGAAGGUGCUGCAUGGUUGUCGUCAGCUCGUGCCGUGAGGUGUCGGCUUAAGUGCCAUAACGAGCGCAACCCUUGUUGUCAGUUACUAACAGGUUCCGCUGAGGACUCUGACAAGACUGCCAUCGUAAGAUGUGAGGAAGGUGGGGAUGACGUCAAAUCAGCACGGCCCUUACGUCCGGGGCUACACACGUGUUACAAUGGGGGGUACAGAGGGCCGCUACCACGCGAGUGGAUGCCAAUCCCAAAAACCUCUCUCAGUUCGGACUGGAGUCUGCAACCCGACUCCACGAAGCUGGAUUCGCUAGUAAUCGCGCAUCAGCCACGGCGCGGUGAAUACGUUCCCGGGCCU